rfam:Populus trichocarpa isolate Nisqually-1 chromosome 7, whole genome shotgun sequence.
AUGGAAGUGAUCAUUUUUUCCUCGAAUAAUCGAAGCUGAAUAAACUGAGCAAUAUUUCUCUUCUCGGAGAAUCCAACCCAGGAAUCUGAUCCUU